CACAUUUUCUUAAUCCAUUUCUCAUCUCUUCAACAAGUAGAACAAAAACCGUUGUCACUCUUCUCCUCUUUGACCUAAUUUUUCAUCCAUUUAGGGCAAGCUUGUGGAGUUUUGCAGUGGUAUGAAUCUUAUGGAAAUGGAGGGCUGAAGGGUUUCUUGUGAAAUCUGAAAAAAAAACUUGAUGUUUUCGAACUACUGGAGGUUCUCUUCUUUAACCGAGGUUAUAGCUGAAGAAACUUCAAGUUUGAGCUUUUGAGAUAUCAAUGAAUAAUUUAGAUAGAAGUUGGAUGAGUCUCAAAUGAAGUGAAUGCAGUGAAGUUUCCUGAAACAUAUCAGAUCGUGUGGAUGUGGAAGUGAUGACAAUAUCAGAGUACAAAAGCUAUAUGCAGUAAGGUUAUAAGGCGAGCAGUUCUCGAGGCAAUGCAGACUGAAAUCAAAGAAAUUGAAUACGAGCUUGAAUUAUUUUUUCUUCUAGCUUUUUUUUAUAUAAUGGAAAAUAUGCCAAUCCAUUUUGUAAACGAUAUUAGAUUGGGUGGUCCAAAGCAUCUUCGUUGAAUGUAUUCUACUGAGUGAAAAUUUUGUAAAUUCAAGGGUCUUAUUUGUAAUCGACGUUAUCCAGAAGCUUGUAUAGCAGAGGGGUUCAAUGUUGACAAGUUCUUGAUCUUUAGUUUGAUAUACCUAC